rnacentral:rRNA from 1 species
GGGGGGGGGGGGGGGGGGGGCGGGGGGGGGGGGGGGGGGGGGAGGGGCGGGGAGCGGGGGGCGGUGGUGGGAGGGGGGGAGGGGGGGGUGACGCGUGGAGAACGUACGUGUAAGGCUGGGCUCACGGCGGGGCACCGGAGCUAAUACCGGAUAAUAUUUUGAACCGAAUGGUUCAAAAGUGAAAGACGGGCGUGCGGGCACUGAUAGAUUGAUCCGCGCUGACUUGGCUAGUGGGUAAGGUAACGGCUUACCAAGGCAACAAUGCAUAUCACACCUGAGAGGGGGAUCGGCCCACCUGGAACUGAGACACGGUCCAGACUCCUACGGGAGGCAGCAGUAGGGAAUCUUCCGCAAUGGGCGAAAGCCUGACGGAGCAACGCCGCGUGAGUGAUGAAGGUCUUCGGAUCGUAAAACUCUGUUAUUAGGGAAGAACAUAUGUGUAAGUAACUGUGCACAUCUUGACGGUACCUAAUCAGAAAGCCACGGCUAACUACGUG